CCUCCCCCCAAAAAAAGGAAAAAAAAAAAGGAACGCUCAACUUCUAGCCUGGGGAUAUAGCUCAGUGAUAAAGCACUUGCCUAAAAUAUUUGAGACCCUACAUUUGAUCCCCAGUAGCAAAAAAAAAAAAAAAAAAAAAAAAUCUCAACCUCUUUUAAGAAAGAAUCAGAACAGGUAACAUAAUGAUUUGUUUGUGUUUUGUUUUGCAGUACAUGGAGUGGAACCCAGCAGCACUUUACCACCAAGCUACAUCCCCAGCACUUUUAUUUUUUAAAUUUUGAGACAGGGUUUCAAAGUUGCCCAGGGUGGCAUCAAACUUAUGAUCCUCCUGCCUCAGCCUCCCAAGUCACUGAGAUUAUAGGUACAUCACAUCACCCAGCCUCCAAAAUGUCUUGCUGGAGUUGAGCACCCGCUAUGGCCAUUGGAUGGAGUCCUCCAGCUCAGACAUCUUUGUGUUAUUUUCAGGAAUUUGCAAUCCCUCCUUGAGAGAUGCUAAUUCACAUGACUCUCACCUAAACAUCUCCAUGAAGAAAGGAAAGGGAGUGUCAUAAUUAUUAAACCCAUUUUGAAGUGAGGAAUUUGAAGCUCAGAGGCUAAAGGACUUGCCAAAGAUUCCAUAGCCAGUGUUUUUUUGAUCUGGCUUGAACUCAGGGGCACUCAACCACUGAGCCACAUCCCCAGCCCUAUUCUGUAUUUUAUUUAGCAACUUUGCUUAGUGCCUUGCGGUUGCUGAGGCUGGCUUUGAACUGGCUAUCCUCCUGUCUCAGCCUCCCAAACCACUGGGAUUACAGGUGGGCGCCACAGUGACCAGCCAUAGCCAAUUUCUUUUGUUUUUGUUUUUGGGUACCAACCAUUGAAUUCAGGGGCACUUGACCACUGAGCCACAUCCCCAGCCCUAUUUUGUAUUUUUAUUUAGAAACAGGCUCUCACUGAGUUGCUAAGCACCUCACUUUUUGCUGAGGCUGGUUUUGAAUUUGCGAUCCUCCUGCCUUAGCCUCCCGAGCCACUGGGAUUAUAGUUUGGUGUAGUUCUGCAGGCCCCAACGGAGGAUAGCGAAGAAUACUGGGAAGAAGACGCAACCUAGUACAAAGAGCAGGGCCAUGCCUGUCUGAGGUAGAGAAGGGGAAAAGAAAUGGUUAUGAGAACUCCUUAACCCUGCAGUGGUCCAUGAGAUCCACUCAGCUGCAGCCACUGAAAAUCAUUGCGUUUCUAACAUCCUUCAUCCGGGUGAUGUGCCUGCCCUUUCUUAACUCCACCCUGAUCAUCCUCCGUUCCUAUGUCACCCUUGACUCCUCCGAGGGGCUCAGACUUCUCACAGGGUCUCACCUCUCAGCGACAAGCCUCCCCUCCCACCCGCUCCGAGGAGGAGAGGAGUGGGGAAGGCGCAGGAGGGACGCAGGUGGUCGGGGCCUGCCAUCCUCCAUCCCUGGAGUGCUUCUGAAGGGACCUUCUCAGGCUACAAGGAAAUGUCAAACUGCAAGGGCACGAGGCUGCUCAGCCGAGGCAGUUGGAGCCACAGGAGCAUCACCCUCCCAUUGGCCAACCUCUUGACACAGGUGCCCUAUCGUUUAUUUCUGCUGGGGCGGAUGUGGGCAGGGCGUUCUACCCAUUCUGUGUAGAAUUAGCCAAUUAGAGUUCGUUGAUGACUUGAUGGACAGCACAUUUCAGAGGCGGAGCUGGAAGAAAAGGAAUAGGAAGAAGAGGGAGAAUAAGAAAGGUCUGUUAUUGCUUUAAAAGGUAGUAGAGAAGCCUAUUGCCGCAUCUCAUGUCUCUAAUCCCAGCAGCUCUGGAGGCUGAGGCAGGAGGAUCUGAAAUUCAAGGACAGCCUCAGCAAUUUAGUGAGGCUCUAAGCAAUUUAGUGAGACCAUGUCUCAAAAUCAAAGAAAGCAAAAACAAACAGCCUCGAGAUGUGGCUCAGUGGUUGAAGUCUCUGGGUCCAUUCUGUGGUAGUGGUGGGGGAAGGUGUGGGGCAGUAGAGAAACUAGCCCUGGAGCACCUCAGCGACAAGGGAGGCUGAAGCAGGAGAAUUGCAAGUUCAGCCUGGCAAUUUAGGGAGACCUUGUCUCAAAAGAAAAAAAAAAUAUGUAAAGGACUUGGAUGUAGUUCAGUGGCAGUGCACUCCUCAGUAUCGCAGGUAAGUGAAUACAAAAAUUAAAAAUGCUAAGGAAAUUUUGGCUCUUCAUUCCCUGAAUAAUGGUGAGCAGAACCUCUGUGGGCCUCGGUAUCUUCCUCUGUGAGAUUGAGAUCAUAAUGAUGACAGCUAAUUAUAUUGCAUUUACUGUGGGCCAGACUCUGAUCUGAGUGCUUAAAAACAUGAAAUCAUUUUUUCCAAAUAACCUUGUGGGUAGGGAUUAUUAUUGUAUCAACUUUACAGUUGGGAAAACAGUGGUACAGAAAGGCUUGGUACCUACCCCAAGGUUACAGUCAGGAAGGGAAUGAGGUACAGUAUUUCUUUCAACCAUAUUUUCUGAAUCUGUUGGUCUCUAUAAUGUUAAGCAGAUAUAGGAAACUCAAAAACUCAUUAUCCUAAAGGAAUUAAAGGGUUUUUGUUUGUUUUGCUGCUGGGGAUUGAACUUAUUUUAUGAAUUUUUUUGGGUUUUUUUGUUAUGUUUUUGUUUUUUUU